AACGAACGCUGGCGGCAUGCCUAACACAUGCCAGUCGAACGAGACCUUCGGGUCUAGUGGCGCACGGGUGCGUAACGCGUGGGAACCUGCCCUUAGGUUCGGAAUAACUCCCCGAAAGGGGUGCUAAUACCGGAUAAUGUCUUCGGACCAAAGAUUUAUCGCCUUUGGAUGGGCCCGCGUUGGAUUAGCUAGUUGGUAGGGUAAAGCCUACCAAGGCGACGAUCCAUAGCUGGUCUGAGAGGAUGAUCAGCCACACUGGGACUGAGACACGGCCCAGACUCCUACGGGAGGCAGCAGUGGGGAAUAUUGGACAAUGGGCGAAAGCCUGAUCCAGCAAUGCCGCGUGAGUGAUGAAGGCCUUAGGGUUGUAAAGCUCUUUUACCCGGGAUGAUAAUGACAGUACCGGGAGAAUAAGCUCCGGCUAACUCCGUG
rnacentral:rRNA from 1 species